GCCUCGUGGCACGGCCAAAAAAAAAAAAAAAAAAAAAGAACUGUCCUGCUCAGUUCCUUUCACAGCUUGGACAUUUCGCCAAGCCACGGGUGACUUCAGCUUUGCAGUGAUGAAGGAGAGUGCCGUUGACCUAGGGAGAGCAGUAAUUGCUCUCUAAAUUGGCACCUUCUUAGGAAAUUUCGAGAGAUUUUUUGCACUAUAACAUUUUUUGUCCUUGCUCGCUGACUUUGGAGCCGAACUCCUGUGUAAGAUGUAAGGCUGCUGUAUACAAUGAUGAUAAACUGAGGACAAAUAUAGCAUCACUGAGGAUGUAAGAACCAAAAGCUAUGGAGAGCACAGAAUGGGGAGAAGCCAGCCCGACCUCGCCUUCGGCCUUGGAGAUGACGUGGAGGAGAAGCAGUCAAUGUCAUCAGCAGAUAUGGAAAGCCUACUCAGACACAAUGCGGCAGACAGGAAGAACAGGAUACAGGAGCCACAGGGCGGAGUAGAGGGAAUAUGUUGGCAACCAGCGGAAAAGGGAGUGUCUGGAGAGGGAGAUAGGGAAUGCGGCCAGAAACACUCAACCAUCUGCAGCAGUGCCUGCUGUUAGGCAGAACAGGGAUGCCAAACAGAGGGGCUUCCCUGGUGGCGCAGUGGUUGAGAGUCUGCCUGCC